GCGGGGACAGGGGAGCCAUGGCAGCCGGCAGGGACACUGCGGGGACAGGGACACCGCGGGGACAGGGACACCGCAGGGACAGGGACACUGCGGGGACAGGGACACCGCGGGGACAGGGACACCGCAGGGACAGGGACACCGCAGGGACAGGGACACCGCCCCAGCAGGGACACCACAGUGACAGGAUACCACAGUGAAAGGGACAUCGCCCUGGCAGGGACACCGCAGUGACAGGGACACCGAGACUGGGCACUAAUGGCCCCCCGACAGGGACACUGCCCCGACAGGGACACCACACUGACAGGGACAUCACCCUGACAGGGACACAGUGACAGGGACACUGGGACCGGGCACUGAUGACACCCUGACAGAGACAUCACAGUGACAGGGACACUGGGACCGGGCACUGAUGACACCCUGACACAGACACCGCCCUGACACAGACAUCACCUUGACAAAGACACUGGGACCAGGCACCAGUGCCACCCUGACAGUGAUACUGAGACCAGGCACUAAUGCCACACUGUCAGUGACACUGGAAACUGGGGACUAAUGUCACCCUGUCAGUCACACUGGGACUGGACACUGAUGUCACACUAUCAGUGACACUGGGACCCAGCCUGGAAAAUGUGGCACUACUGUAACACUGCCACAGACGUUGGAACCUGGGCUGGAUACCUUGGCACUAAUGUCACACUCUGUCACAGACACUGGGACCUGGGCCUUGGCUCAUGCACUGCUGAGGCUUUUAACACUGAGCUCUUUCAGCUGGUCUCAAAUCCAGAACUGAACAGGAGACUGUCAAAAGCAGAUAGGAGGAUCAAAUUCCUGGGCACAAUAAAGCAGCCCAGCGCUCUGGACUUUGGCAUCAAGUGCAAGGUAACAGCACACAGAUGUUCCAAGGUAACAGCAGAGACUGAUGUUGCCUACAAACCCACGCAGCUGCAGCUGGUUAACACAGGCUCUCCCUUCCACUUUUCCAUUACCUCAGAUGCUGAGCUUCCAGAUCCCAUUCAUGUUUGCCCUGAAGUCUAUGUGGUCAUUAAAACAGUGGAAAGCUGGAGUUAAAUA